rnacentral:rRNA from 1 species
AACGAACGCUGGCGGCAUGCCUAACACAUGCAAGUCGAACGAGCCCUUCGGGGUUAGUGGCGCACGGGUGCGUAACGCGUGGGAAUCUGCCCUUGGGUUCGGAAUAACAGUGAGAAAUUACUGCUAAUACCGGAUGAUGUCUUCGGACCAAAGAUUUAUCGCCCAAGGAUGAGCCCGCGUAGGAUUAGCUAGUUGGUGGGGUAAUGGCCUACCAAGGCGACGAUCCUUAGCUGGUCUGAGAGGAUGAUCAGCCACACUGGGACUGAGACACGGCCCAGACUCCUACGGGAAGCAGCAGUGGGGAAUAUUGGACAAUGGGCGAAAGCCUGAUCCAGCAAUGCCGCGUGAGUGAUGAAGGCCUUAGGGUUGUAAAGCUCUUUUACCCGGGAUGAUAAUGACAGUACCGGGAGAAUAAGCUCCGGCUAACUCCGUG